UUGUUAUAUAUAUACUGUAUAAAAAAUAACUGCAUAUAUUAUAAUAUGCAGGAAAAAUGCACGAUCUCUGAAUCCUUGUUUAAUCGGUAUAUUCUUUUUAUUAAUUUUUUUUCACAACUCAGUUUAAAAAAUUAUAACAUUCCACAUCUCGAACAAUUGAGUUUCUUUCAAUUUUUACCACGAAUCCAGCACGAAAACAAGUCAGUACAUCAAAGUACAUGGACAGAAGCGUGGUGUGAGCCUUUAAGGCAUUUUUCCUAACACAACUCUAGUCCAGUGUGAUAGAAGCGGCCAAACAGGAAAUUUUCUUUCUGAAGUCGUUGCUUAACUUCGGAUAUUUGUCCCAAGUUUGAUCACUGCUGUUGUACUUAUCUAUUUGCGCACCUUGUAACGCGGAAUUCGGAUACUGUGCUACCAUCUAGCGAGUACUCUAUAAUGUUUAUCCAUCUGUUCUGCUUUAUAUCACAAAUAUUAGCGUUUAAAUGACACUGAUAUACGAAACAGUAGUAAUUUAUGACGGAGAAAACGUUUAUACUGCUAUUUAAGAAACCAUUCUGCGAAUUUUUUUUUUAUACUAGUAUGAUUUUAUACUACAAGAUGGCGCUUAUAAUGCUUAUAAUAACAAAACGAGCAUAAAUUAUAAAAUCAAUUUUGGACAUAAACUAGAAGUGAAUCACCUGUUAAAAUUUGAACCUUUGACUCCAGUGAAUCUAUUCAAGUCACGUUUCCUUUGUAAAUUCGUUUGAGUUAUUUUGGUUCGACUCGAAAAAUGUGUUAUUGGAGGACGAAAUUAGUAGUAAUCUAGAAUUAUUCACGACUUUUGAG
rnacentral:lncRNA from 1 species